rnacentral:misc_RNA from 1 species
GAUGAAGAACGUAGCGAAAUGCGAUAAGUAAUGUGAAUUGCAGAAUUCAGUGAAUCAUCGAAUCUUUGAACGCACAUUGCGCCCGCCAGUAUUCUGGCGGGCAUGCCUGUUCGAGCGUCAUUACAACCCUCAUGCCCCCGGGCUUGGCGUUGGGGAUCGGCGGAGCCCCCCGUGGGCACACGCCGUCCCCCAAAUGCAGUGGCGGUCCCGCCGCAGCUUCCAUCGCGUAGUAGCUAACACCUCGCGACUGGAGAGCGGCGCGGCCACGCCGUAAAACACCCAACUCUUCUGAAGUUGACCUCGAAUCAGGUAGGAAUACCCGCUGAACUUAAGCAUAUCAAUAAGCGGAGGA